UUCCGGUUGAUCCCGCCGGAGGCCAUUGCUAUCGGGGUCCGAUUUAGCCAUGCUAGUUGUACGAGCUUACACUCGUAGCAAAUAGCUCCGUAACACGUGGCCAAACUACCCUACAGAGAACGAUAACCUCGGGAAACUGAGGCUAAUAGUUCAUACACGUCUCACGCUGGAAUGCCCGAGACGCUCAAACGUUCCGACGCUGUAGGACGUGGCUGCGGCCGAUUAGGUAGACGGUGGGGUAACGGCCCACCGUGCCGAUAAUCGGUACGGGUUGUGAGAGCAAGAACCCGGAGACGGAAUCUGAGACAAGAUUCCGGGCCCUACGGGGCGCAGCAGGCGCGAAACCUUUACACUGCACGCAAGUGCGAUAAGGGGACCCCGAGUGCGAGGGCAUACAGUCCUCGCUUUUCACUACCGUAAGGUGGUAGUGGAAUAAGAGCUGGGCAAGACCGGUGCCAGCCGCCGCGGUAAUACCGGCAGCUCGAGUGAUGGCCGAUUUUAUUGGGCCUAAAGCGUCCGUAGCCGGCCACACAAGUCCAUCGGGAAAUCCGCCAGCCUAACUGGCGGGCGUCCGGUGGAAACUGUGUGGCUCGGGACCGGAAGACCCAACAGGUACGUCUUGGGUAGGAGUGAAAUCCUGUAAUCCUGGACGGACCACCGAUAGCGAAAGCAUGUUGGGAAGACGGAUCCGACGGUGAGGGACGAAAGCCAGGGUCUCGAACCGGAUUAGAUACCCGGGUAGUCCUGGCCGUAAACGAUGUCUGCUAGGUGUGGCUCCCACUACGAGUGGGUGCUGUGCCGUAGGGAAGCCGCUAAGCAGACCGCCUGGGAAGUACGUCCGCAAGGAUGAAACUUAAAGGAAUUGGCGGGGGAGCACUACAACCGGAGGAGCCUGCGGUUUAAUUGGAUUCAACGCCGG
rnacentral:rRNA from 1 species